UACAGAGGGGGCAAGCGUUGUUCGGAAUUACUGGGCGUAAAGGGCGCGUAGGCGGCCUUCUAAGUCGAACGUGAAAUCCCCGGGCUCAACCCGGGAACUGCGUCCGAUACUGGAAGGCUUGAAUCCGGGAGAGGGAUGCGGAAUUCCAGGUGUAGCGGUGAAAUGCGUAGAUAUCUGGAGGAAUACCGGUGGCGAAGGCGGCAUCCUGGACCGGCAUUGACGCUGAUGAGCGAAAGCUAGGGGAGCAAACAGG
rnacentral:rRNA from 1 species